CCUACGGGAGGCAGCAGUGAGGAAUAUUGGUCAAUGGGCGCGAGCCUGAACCAGCCAAGUAGCGUGAAGGAUGACGGCCCUAUGGGUUGUAAACUUCUUUUAUAAGGGAAUAAAGCGCGGCACGUGUCCCGUUUUGCGUGUAUCCGAUGAAUAAGGAUCGGCUAACUCCGUGCCAGCAGCCGCGGUAAUACGGAGGAUCCGAGCGUUAUCCGGAUUUAUUGGGUUUAAAGGGAGCGUAGGCGGUCUGUUAAGUCAGCGGUGAAAAUUCGGGGCUCAACCCUAUCAGUGCAGUUGACACUGGCAGACUUGAGUGCGCGAGAGGUACGCGGAAUUCGUGGUGUAGCGGUGAAAUGCUUAGAUAUCACGCAGAACUCCGAUUGCGAAGGCAGCUUACUGAAGCGCGACUGACGUUGAUGCUCGAAAGCGUGGGGAUCGAACAGGAUUAGAUACCCUAGUAGUC
rnacentral:rRNA from 1 species